GAUGAAGACGUAGCGAAAUGCGAUAAGUAAUGUGAAUUGCAGAAUUCAGUGAAUCAUCGAAUCUUUGAACGCACAUUGCGCCCUCUGGUAUUCCGGGGGGCAUGCCUGUUCGAGCGUCAUUAUAACCACUCAAGCUCUCGCUUGGUAUUGGAGUUCGCGAUCUCGCGGCUCCUAAAAUCAGUGGCGGUGCCUGUCGGCUCUACGCGUAGUAAUACUCCUCGCGAUUGAGUCCGGUAGGUUUACUUGCCAGCAACCCCCAAUUUUUACAGGUUGACCUCGGAUCAGGUAGGGAUACCCGCUGAACUUAAGCAUAUCAAUAAGCGGAGGA
rnacentral:misc_RNA from 1 species